UUUUUUUAACUUCCGACUUUCUUAUAUUGUAAACGGAUAAUACAAAUAGUUUAAAAGCAAUUCCGGUGGUACAGUAAAAGUUUGAUA
rnacentral:sRNA from 1 species